rnacentral:rRNA from 1 species
UACGUAGGGGGGCAAGCGUUGUCCGGAAUCAUUGGGCGUAAAGAGCGUGUAGGCGGCCUGAUAAGUCGGCUGUGAAAGUCAAGGGCUCAACCCUUGAAUGCCGGCCGAUACUGUCAGGCUAGAGUCCGGAAGAGGAGAAUGGAAUUCCUGGUGUAGCGGUGAAAUGCGCAGAUAUCGGGAGGAACACCAGUAGCGAAGGCGGCUCGCUGGGCCAUUCCUGACGCUGAGACGCGAAAGCUAGGGGAGCGAACAGG